UGAGUCUUUUUCGUGCGCGCGAGAUUAGGCUGCUCGCAGCCCGAAGCCGCCGGAAGUGUGUGAGCGCUCGUCUUCGGCCGCCGGUCCUCUCAGUCGUCGAUGAGCUCCGGGAAGAUGUUGGUGAUGACUCCGUGCCGAGAAACCUGGACCUAACGGCUGCUACAACCUCGACCGUUGGAUGUUAAGUUUGAAACUUUAUCUCUGGACGGCUGUUUUUGCCGUGUGGGGAUAAACACCACCGGGAGGGACAGGUGUCACCCACCCUUCUCCCCCUUCCUCCAUCCCAUCCCACUGGGGCUGGCAGCUUUCUAUUUGUCUCCCUCUCACACUUUUUUUUUUUUUUUUUUUAAACAAAACAGAGCAGGACUUUUUGUGAGCCAUGCUGUGGACAAGGUGGCUCGUCCUGUUGCUCUGCUGGGGGGGCACAGGCAGCGAGCGACAUGCGGAUGAGAGGGACGCGGUACCGGCUGAGGUCCGGUCGGACUCCCGCAGAGAGCGCUCCCCUCCGCCGGUGGAGCCGCUGGAUUUUGGGUUUGUACCCGCGGCGGUUUAUGACACCCACGCUUACUACGAGCCAGGGACCAUAGGGAUCCUCUUCCACAUGGUCCAUGCGUUUCUCUACAUGGUUCAACCGAACCACUUCCCCAAAGAUCUCAUUGUCAGAGUCAUUCAGCAAAACCUGGGUGCAUUCAAAAUAGAGGAAUGGAGAAAGCCAGAAAACGUCGUCUUGUUGCUGCAGUGGAUCCAGUACGAGUCGGGAUUCCUCGUAUGCGCAAGCUUUGGCGUCGUGUUUGUGGUCCUCACUCCCAUCAUAGCCACGUGCUUCUGCAUGUGCCGAUGCUGCGAUAACUGUGGAGGGGAGAUGCAUCAGAGGCAGAGGAAAAACGCCGACUGCCACAGAGGUUUCUACACCGCCUCGCUGGUUGGCACCACCAUCUUCAUCAUUCUGGGAGUUCUCAUUGCCCUUGCUGCAAAUUACAACAUCAGCUCCCAGAUCAAAAGCACUCGGCGGCUCAUUAACACCAACAUGAGAGACCUGAAGACGUUUGCAAACAACACGCCCGCACAAAUCGAUUACCUGACAGCCCAGUACACCACAUCCAAGAACAAAGUCCUGUCAGACCUCGACAACAUUGGCCCUUUGCUGGGAGGUAGGAUCCACAUUCAGCUGGAGAAAUCUGUGAUUCCUUCGCUGGACGCUGCCCUGCGUAUGGCAGGAGCAAAAGUUGAGAGUGCCAUCAAAGCCAUGCGUGAGACCAAAGAGGCCCUGGAGAACGUCAGCUCCUCCUUGGAGGUGCUGCAGGAGGGGGUGGGAAAACUUCAGGCCAGCCUGUCAGGGGAGCGUGCCUCUCUGUCCAACACCCUGUCUGACCCCGCCUGCACCAACGGAGCUGUGUCGCACACCUGCAAUGCCAUCCGCGCCACACUUUUUCAGCUGGGAAUCAAUGCUGACUUCUCCAAGCUCCCAGAUGUCAAUCAUGCUUUGGCCAAUGUCAAUACUGUUCUGAAAACAGAUCUGAGCAACAUUGUACAAAGGGGUUACGCAUCCUUUAAUGACACACCAAGACUGGUUAAAGAGCAAACUAAAAACAUUGUUGCAGCCCUGCCUCGAGUAAAAGGCAUGCUGGAUAAGAUUGGUGCAGAGAUAACUGGCUUCUCCAAGAUGUUCCCAGUGGAAGCUUCUCUGGCAAAUUUCACCAUUUUCCUAAAUGAAAGACACAAGGUUAUUGAGUCCUAUUACCCCCAAAUGGACCAAAUUGAUUUUUACAGGUGGAUCGCCUGUGUGGCGGUGCUCUGCAUGGUCGUCUUGGUGCUGGCCUUUAACAUCCUCGGCCUGCUGUGUGGUAACUGUGGCUAUGACAAACAAGCUACCCCGACAACCCGUGGCUGCCUGUCAAACACCGGGGGAAACCUGCUGAUGGCUGGUGUUGGCUUCUCUUUUAUCUUUGCCUGUGUGCUGAUGGCCAUCAUUACCACCCUGUUUGUUGUGGGUGGCAACGUGGAGAAGCUGAUAUGUGAACCUCUGGCUAACCGACAGCUGUUUAAGAUCAUUGAUACGCCAUUCCUGGUCCAUCCUGAAAAAAAGAACUUCCUACCUGGGAUGCUGUUCCAGAAUCCAAAUAUUGAUUUAACUUUGGGCAGCAUGUACAGGGAGUGCUAUGAGAACAAUGGUCUGUAUCACGCUCUGCAACUAGAGACCAUGUUCAACAUUAACUCCUUCCUGAACAGAACAGUGUACAACAGGGACCUGGCCAAAGUGUUUGAAAGUGUGCAGGUGGACCUGCAGGGUGUCAUGCUGCUGGAGCAGUCUGGCAGAGACAACCUCAUCAACUUUGCCAACUCUGGAAUUGGACAGAUCGACUAUCAGGCUUAUCUUGCUGAGGUAAAUAAAGGGGUCACCGUAAUAGAUCUGCUGUCCUUCUGUAGUGACCUGGAGGCUCAGGCUGACCAACUGCCACGUGGUGCUCUGGAGAACGCACUGAGAGGCCACGCCAGCAGUAUUAGGGCCAUUCACAGGGAUCAGGUGGUGCCAUUGGAGCAAGCAAUGUUUCUCUCCCAUGAUCCUGAUUUUAGCAGCAUCUCAUCCCGUGUAGCAAGAGAACUUGUGAUUGAGGCUAGCAGACACACAAGCAAGCUGCUGAAAUAUGUCAGAGCGCGGAGUACCCUGAACCAGAGUAUCAAACUGCUACAGAGGACAUCCACCGACCUGCCAGUCAAAGUCACAAAUGUCCUGAGUGCCAUUGAUGCAGCAGAGUACCUCAUCGCUCAUAAUGCCUCCCAUGUUGUAAAGCAGGAAACAAAGAUGUACGUGCAGGGUUUGGUGGGAUACUUCAAACAGUACACAGAAUGGGUUAAAAACUCUCUAACUGCAGAAGUAGCCCAGUGUAAACCCAUCAGCAACAUUGUGGACAGCAUGGAAAUAGUAGGAUGCAGCUUCAUAACUGACUCAGUGAACACAUUCUGGUUUGGUCUGGGAGGCUGCUGCAUCCUGCUGAUCCCCAGCAUCAUCUUCUCUGUCAAACUGGCCAAGUAUUACAGGAGGAUGGACACAGAGGACGUCUUUGAGGACUCCUCUUACCCAUGGCUUGUUGCACUUUAAUGCUUGUCUAUUAUUCCCACACCUGGUCAUCUUCUCCCAUGCACCUGCUCGCUUUUCAGUACGGGAUUCUUCAUCUUUGGAUUACUUCACAGCUUUCUCACUCUUCCACCUGAAAUCACAAACUCAGCAUCUUAUCUCUUUUCAUGGUCUUCCCCGUCACUCCUCGCCGUCUUCUUCCCGACGUGAGCAAUGCUCUCUGUGGAUCACUCCAUCCUUGUUACUUUCACAGGAGUCUUCCCAUUCUCUUUCUCAUCUGUCCUCCCUCACUCUUCUGUUGCAGUAUGGCUAAUACAGGUAAUCAUGGUGAACAGGUGUGUGAUAUCCAUGGAAACUUCACCAUCAGGUACGAGCCGUGGGCAGCUAAAUCUGCUGGCUUGCAUGCUCGAGUGUUAAUUGGUGGAGGGAUAUUUGGAGACAUGUCAACUUUUUUUUUUAACUACAUGGGAUUUUUCCACAUGUAAAGAUUGUGUGUGUGUGUGUGUGUGUGUGUGUGUGUGUGUGUGUGUGUGUGUGUGUGUGUGUGUGUGUGUGUGUGUGCGUCUGCGCAUUUAGCUCUCCCUAUUGUGACACUCUGACUCGGUUCCCUCGGGCCUCUGCCCCCCCGAGCUACUCAGUCUGGUGACCCACAGGAACGCUCUCCCCACUGAUGAGUGGACAGGAGAACUGGAACUGACGUUCCCCUGUGGAUCACCGGGCUGUUUAGGCUUCCUAUUCAGCUCUCCUAACACUUCCAAGGACAAAAGGGAAGAACAUUCAUGAACUGUGCUGUGAGGGCAUCUCUGUCCGUCAGGCCAUUUGACAAAACCACUAAUGCCAGCAAACUGUAGUCCUAUGAAGUGUUGUCUCGACCCCUUUACCGUUUCAUUCUGUACACCAUCGACUGCAUAGUUAGCUGCAUAGAGAAUGAAUUUGUACUUACAUGAUCAGUUUUAAACGGAGUGACACAAGUGUACAGUUUUUACACUUUCAAAUCUUUUGAAAGUUUUAUAUAUUUUUGUUAAUCUUUAUUUUAUAACGUAAAUAGUUUUUUGUAGUAGUAGCUCUCUUUGUUUUUCCUCUGUGAAUAUUUGUAAUAUUGCUCACACUUUUCCAUCAGACGGUUGCAUUUAGCAGGUAUAUUUUUAAGGAAUGGUUUGACAUUUUUGAAAAAAACAGCCACUCGCUUUCUUCCCGAGAAUUAGAUGAGAAGUGUUUGUGAAAUUCAAGCAGCUGGAAAGCUCAACUAAGUAAAAGGCAAAGAUUUAGAAACAAGCUAACAGCCGUGCUUGCUGUGCUUUGAGCUGCUGCCUGCAGGCUAAUAUCUUGUUUUCUCAAUUUGAGUAAACAUGCAUGCAAUAUAGUACCUAUAUAGUAUGGAUAGCGGACUUCUAACAGUCCACACGUUCUGUGUGGGGACACUACGUGUACUUUAAAUCAUCGCCAUAUUGACUAAGUAAGAGGAAGAGGAGAGUAAGAGGAAGACCCACUGACAUGGGGGCACACACCUGUAGUUGCAAAAAGACUUGUGGUGCUUUCUGACGUGACCUCUGUAAACAUGUUCCUGCUGAGUUUAUGGGCUCCGUCACUCAUUUGGAGUCAUAAUGAUUAAAAAAUUAAGUGUUUUGUAAAUUGUGGUCAUUAUGUUUCAGAAUGAAGGAUUAUCCAGGAUAUACUCAUGAAGUGCACUUUCACAGUCAGACCCGCCCCUCUGUUAUUACUUCGGGUUUUAAAAACACUGAGAGGGUGACAGCAAGACAUGUUUUGUUCCCUUGAGCCAUUUUCACACUUUUUGUGCACAUUUCAGCUAACCACACAGAGCAGAGUUAUUGAUAUUCUCGGCUAACUCAAGAAGAAAGUGAAAACAGGCCUUUUUACAAAGUGUUGAAUUAUUCCUUUAAGCACCAAAGCAGCAGCAGCUCUGUUUGGUACAGGCAGUCACGGGAUAAAAUAUGGAGUGAAGCUAAAUUAAAUGAAUAAACAGGGGUUUGCUUAUGCUAUUGCAUCAGCCUUUAUAUAACUAAAUUUAACUCAAUCCUGUUUUUAUUGUUGAUUAUUGGUAAUAAAAAAUUGUCUGUGGGGUGUGA